rnacentral:snRNA from 1 species
UUGAUCACACCUCGCAUAUACCAUGAUUGGAUCAAUACAUACGAGAGUAGCAUGGGCCCUGCGCUAGGAAGAAACGCAAAAUUUUGAAGAAUUCCACAUAUUG